UACGUAGGGUGCGAGCGUUGUCCGGAAUUAUUGGGCGUAAAGGGCUCGUAGGCGGUUUGUCGCGUCGGGAGUGAAAUCCACUGGCUUAACUGGUGGCUUGCUUUCGAUACGGGCAGACUGGAGGUAUGCGAGGGGAGAACGGAAUUCCGGGUGUAGGCGGAUUGGAAUGCGUAGAGAUCCGGAAGAACACCGGUGGCGAAGGCGGUGAGCUGGGCAGUAGCUGACACUGAGGCGCGACAGCGUGGGGAGCAACAGG
rnacentral:rRNA from 1 species